ACUGUUUUUUUUAUAGGGAUUCAAACCCCUUCAGCUCCUUCAGACCUUUCUCUAACUCCUCUGUUGGGGACCCCAUUCUCAGUCCAGUGGUUGGCUGCGAGCAUCUGUCUCUGUAUUUUUCAGGUUCUAGCUGAGCCUCAGGAGACAAUUAUAUCAGGCUCUUGUCAGCAUGUACUUCUUGGCAUCCACAGUAUUGUCUAGGUUUAGUGUUUGCAUAUGGGGUGGAUUCCCCCAGAGGGGAAGUCUCUUGAUGGCUUUUCUUCAGACUCUGCUCCAUAUUUUGUCUCCCUAUUUCCUCCUGUAGUAUUUUGUUCCCCUUUCUAAGAAGGGCUUAAGCAUCCACACUUCGGUCUUCCAUUGAGCUUCAUGUGUGUAGGGAGCUGCGACAUGCCGCGCCUCAAAGAUGGGGCUGGUUUCCGGUUUCCGCCUUCCACCCUCCCAACGCUCAGCUUGUACGAAGACAUGAAGAAACUCACCUUCAGUCAUGCAGAUGAUUGUGACCACACUCUAGAAAAUAAUGUAAGAGCACAAUGGAAGUAUGAAGUCCCUGAGAGACUUCACAGAACAGAGCAAUCUGUCUGACCUAGUGUGACUGUAACAUGACUGGAAAAUAAGCAAACUGAAGUUCAUGUA